rnacentral:lncRNA from 1 species
CCUUUGUUAAUGUGAAGCCUAGACCACCGUCAGGGACCUCCAGCAGCCGCGCGGUGCUAAGGUUUCAGCUGGGCCUGUGGCCGGUGUGUUCAUUCGUGUGGUUAUUUGAUUAAGACCUGACUCCUGUCUCGGCCCUAAGCUCCGCGUAAACAAAGACCUUAUGGGUUCAUUCAUGUUGUAACUGUGUUCCCAGCACCCAGCAGGAGACCAGCCAGUGGGAGGCAAGCAGUAUAGAACAGAUGAACGUGCGAAUGACUGGGCUCUCUGUUCCUGCCCCCAUGGAAUGAGCCCGCCUGACAUGCCAGAGGAUUCCACAGUUCCAGAGCAUGUGACACACGUGUGCCGGAGCAAAGCCACACAUGAGCCUGGCGGGGCCCAAGACAGCACAGAACGUGUUCACAUCCUCCCUCGUCUCUGACUCACCAGCCCUGAUGUGACUCCCACACCCUGCCCCUCCGGGAUGUAGCCUUUCUCUCCCUUUGUGCCAUUUCGUGUCUAUCCAGGCUGUGUGUGCAUCCACUCACCUUCAUUGGGAUUUGCAACGUCCUCCCGGUACCUGCAGAAUCCAUUUUGUACCCCAUCUUACCGUUCUUUUGUAUCAGGGUGCCUGUCCACAUCGAGAUCCUGAGACUCUGACGCUGAAAAACGAAAAAUAUAGACUUUCACUUCGAAGUUGUAAGUUGCCUCCUAAGAGUGCAGACUUGAAUUUACCGAAGGCUGACGCCUCUUAGUUCUGGGAACACCAUCUGUACAGGCAGCCGAGUUUUGCCGUUGUGAACACGUCCCCACCUCUUAAGGAGUUCUCAUGCUGAGAAGUAGCCCCAAAGCAGAGACUUUAGACUAGAAGGUUGCAUGGAUUGACUGUAGAGACGAGGCGCAGCAUCUCAGAGUUCAGCUGUCAGAUGUGCUGCUUCUUUGGAAGAAACGUAUUUUGUUAUGGUGGUGGUGGUUGUUUGCUGCAAUUUGGACAUUUGAAAAGAAGCAUCCCUCUCAGACCCAGAUUGGGUCUGGGACCGAGGACUCAGUGUGCUCUUUCUCCCUCAAGCAGUUUGCAGGAGAGGCAGAGCUGCAGUGCAGCAAGACCUGUAGGCCAGCUGCCAUACACACUGAUUGUGACUGACCCGACCCUGAGAGAAACAUAAACUGAUUUGAGCUGGGCCCUGCCCAACCUGGACUGGACUUGGUGAGCCCCAUCCUGGACUCAUGCCAGAAUGCAUUACCCAGAAUAUCCUGAUGCACCUAACUGACUGCCUGCGCCCAGAGGGACAAAGGCCCUCCCUGUGGCUGGGGGCAGGUGUUCCCUGAAGGCACUGACAGGCCUUUCUCCUGUAUAUCACCUGGAGAAAAGGACUUGAGCUGGCAUUAGAAUGGGCAGAGGGGCUCUUGCCAGUCUGUCUGGGGACCACCAGCGGGGCAGAGAAAAGGAGAUGUGAUGUUUAAUUUUAGGUGUCAGCUUGACUGGGAUACCCAGAUACCCAGAGAGCUGGCAAGGCAUUAUUUCUGGGUAUAUCUGUGAGGGUGUUUCUGGAAGAGACUGGCAUUUGAAUCACUGGACAGAGCCCUCGACUGAUUGGAUGGUGUCUGCCCCCGUGGGGUGAAGGUGAAUAUUCCUUACUCAGUCUGGAGAUUUCAAAUGCCAAUCUCUGAGGAACCCUGAUUAAAGGAGGAGACAUGCCUCUUUCUGAGACACCCUUUCCCUCCCAGGCCCAGGUGCUCUGAGCACAGCCACCUCCAGAGGUAACCAUUGGUGGUACUCUAUGUUGUAGAUCCCUUCCGUUAUACCAGAACCUUCCAUAAUGUCUUGCUAAGCACUGCAGCAAAUGGCAGCCUAGAAUGGAGAAGUCAAAUAUGGGUGCUAGUGGCAGGAGAAUGGGAACAUUGAUGCUGGGAAGCUGCCAACAGACACUGACCACACAUGCCACUUUCCUCUGGCCAAGGCUGGCACCACUUCUAUAGAUGAAAACUUGAGCCAAGAGGCUGGGAUAGAGUGAGUGGGGAACCCGAGAUCCUUUCUAAUACUGGGGAUCUGGGAUUCUGUGAAGACCAGGGACAGCGUGAGAGAUUCAAGGGCUGACAACCUGAGGGAGGAGGGUGCUGCAUGCUACAGUGUUCUGUCCUCCACAUCGGUAUCUUCAACACCAACUUGGGGGAUGACACAGAAGGCAGGCUUGGCCUUCUAGCAGAUGUCAUAAACCAAUAAGGAAUAAAGGGUACUUACUGACAGAA